GUAAAUGUGUAAUUAAAAACAAGUAAAGUGUUGAUUUUGAACUUGAGUUCAAGUUCAGCUUCAAUUGCUUUUUUGUGAAGUAAAUCAUGAAAAGAGAUAAGACAAUGGUGAAAAAGAAUUGCGAUAACUGAUUUUUUCACGAAAUCACCAUUUUAUCAAUGUUUGACAAUCUUGUUGUUUACUUUUAAGAACAGUAACAUCUUGAUGCCAGUUAAUCUCAUACGGCUUUGCAGAGAAACAGAGGCUGACUCUUUGUUGAUAGAAAAAUCAAACAUUUGAGUGAUCUCAUCUGCCACCUAGAGAAAGUCAUUAAAUAACUUGGACUUUAAAAUGAUAAAAUAAUUAUUUUACUUAUCAGCAUCUUCUUUGACUGAUACAUUUGGUUUUUUAUGUCGUGUUUUUUGGAGUAUUAUCAGUUCCAUUGGCAAUUUUGUUUGAAUGUCACAGUAAAUAUCUUCUUAGAUUUUUUUACAUUGCUAAUACAAUGCUUUUAUCAGUUUCUUUCAUGUUUUUCAAAACUUUUAAUACUUCAUUAUUUGUUGGUUCUAACAAUCCAGCAUCCCUGUAAGCCUCCCCCAGAAUUGUUUUAACAAUUCUAACUGGAGAUUUUCCCUUUCCUUUGUAGAAUAAAUUUUGAAGUAUCAUUUAAUUUCAUGUCUUAGGUUAAAAUCAUAGCCUACUCUAAUCACGUUAGAGUGAUCACGUGUAUCAAGAGCACGGGCUACUGCCAAAGAAAAAUUUUAGAAAUGAAGCUGGGAAAUGGAAUCGGCCAUUUUGUGACGUCGGAAACUAGGUAGACUCAAAGAGGUUCCAGCCAAUUGAUAUCCACGAUACACUCUCGGUUGCUUCUGUUCCUCCUUCCAUUUUGGAUCUAUCCCUAACUGUGCGUAAGUGCGAUAUCCAUCACGGUUUCCUCCGCUGAUUUCUAAUGCCAAAACCGAAAUUGUGAAAACGUUAACGCAAAAUUUUGCCCGAACGACACAUUGUGGUUUUAAUUUGAAUUCGAUUUCUUUUUACUCUUUCACGUCGAUUGACAGUUUUCGUCCAGGAAAAAGUGCUGCUGCGUUACAUCGGAGACUCUUCAAUGUCGUUCAUCAGACAGUCCAUUGGAAAACCGCAAAUACCACAAGGUGAUGAAAAAGAAUAAAAAAGCAAAGUUUCAUAAUGUGUGUACUGUUUGAGAUGGUGGACAUAAC